rnacentral:rRNA from 1 species
UACGUAGGGUGCAAGCGUUGUUCGGAAUUACUGGGCGUAAAGGGCUCGUAGGCGGCCAACUAAGUCAGACGUGAAAUCCCUCAGCUUAACUGGGGAACUGCGUCUGAUACUGGAUGGCUUGGAUUUGGGAGAGGAAUGCGGAAUUCCAGGUGUAGCGGUGAAAUGCGUAGAUAUCUGGAGGAACGCCAGUAGCGAAGGCGGCUCGCUGGGCCAUUCCUGACGCUGAGACGCGAAAGCUAGGGGAGCGAACAGG